UUUGUAUAAAUGGUUUGCAUCGUGUUGGUUGUGUCUUCAGCAUUAGUCCUAAUAACCUUGGACUGACUGAACCAGUGAUUAGCAUACGGGUCAGUGUAAGAUCUAGUACUGGCCAAUGAGAAGCAGAAAUCUGCUGGGAGCUUCCUCUCUGGUGGAAGGAGGGAGCCGUACAAGGAGCAGCCUGCCACUAACUUCUUCACACCUUUGUCCACAAUGGAAUGAGGAUGGGACGCUAGUGCCAUGGCAACCUUCUUAAGAGCCAACAGACGCAAAGAAGUGCUGAUGUCAGUGAAUCCUGAUGUCAUUGAGCUGCCUUUGGAUCUUGUUAUGUAUUGUGUGAUUGAUAAAUGCCCUGAAUGUUGAAGCCACUUUCUGCUGUGUAUAGUGGAACCAUCCAAACUGGUAUAUGUAUUCUCAAUUCUAAAAAAACCAUUUAUUCAACAA